rnacentral:lncRNA from 12 species
UCACUAAGGAGAUGGAGAAGCAACUAGGUCAUGAGAUCCAAUAUUGUUACCAGCAGUAGUUAAUUGAACCUGACAGAACAGAAUUGAAAAUGUAGACAUUUGAAGACGAACUCAUCAGCUGUAAAAAGGUCAAAUGGCUUACAAAGAACAGUCUGAGGAAUAAGGGAGUGAAACUGCCAUUUCAUGAGCAUGAAGUUUCCUUUGAAAAUAUACAAUUUAAUGACCAAAUAAAAAGUAGUUAUGAACCUUCAGUUUGAAUUUGCUUAUGUAUGUGACUAGUAAUAUUAUCUGACAUAUUUCUAGGCUGGCUAGCCUUAAAUGCCGAACGUAUCAGCAGACGUCAGCUGUACAACAUUAAGGGUGAUGCAGUACUCGAUUGAGGCUGCAAGUCUUUAUGGUUCCUAUGCUUUAUACAUUUAUAUUCUUUAUGUAAGGGUUACAUUGAAGAAGACAAUAUAUAUGCCUGAAGGUGAAGGAUGGUUUCUCAGAAUAUCUCUGUCUGGAGGAAGAAAACAAUUACGUUCUUCACCAACACUUUUCCAGGAAGUUCACUGGGAUUCAAAGACAUCACCCACAUUUUUUCCCCAUAAAGAGACCCCUGUCUACGUGACCUAGAUUAUCAGACCAUUAAAACUCUGGUAAAUCCAUGAAAAACAGAUGAAAGCCAAAUCUUUCAUUAUUCCUAAAUCCCUGAUUAUGACAUGUUUCUCCUAAGAUGUGUCCCCAAAGAGUGAAUGAGGCAUCUGUAAGUAUGCACAGGUUAUGGCGCAGUCCCCUCAGUGGCAUUUUGUCCAUAUGGAGCUUAAUUCUGUAAACUACCUAUAACUAGGUGUAAAAUUCAGACAGAAAAUAGCAAUUUAUCACAAGUGUCCAGCUGGUUUCUUCUUCCAAGUGGUUAUUUCCUAAUCUGAAAUCCAGCCCAUUCACUGCCCACUUACAUUUUUGAGCUAUAAAAUCAAUAAUAAAUAGCAAGAACAUUCCCUGGAGAGAUUAGCC